rnacentral:rRNA from 1 species
UACGGAGGAUGCGAGCGUUAUCCGGAUUUAUUGGGUUUAAAGGGUGCGUAGGCGGGCUUUUAAGUCAGCGGUAAAAAUUCGGGGCUCAACCCCGUCCGGCCGUUGAAACUGGGGGCCUUGAGUGGGCGAGAAGAAGGCGGAAUGCGUGGUGUAGCGGUGAAAUGCAUAGAUAUCACGCAGAACCCCGAUUGCGAAGGCAGCCUUCCGGCGCCUUACUGACGCUGAGGCACGAAAGUGCGGGGAUCGAACAGG